rnacentral:rRNA from 1 species
AUGGAGUUCGCCGCGCGAGGCCGAGAAACCGCCGCGGCCGACGGCGUUGGCGUCGGCGAUGGCCGCCGCCUCCCCGAUCCUCCGCCGCCGCACGGCAAUGAUGCUGACUCACCACAGGCAGACAUGGUGGCGCUGGUGUUGAGGAGGGAGCAGCUGCUGCACGAGCUCCACAAGGAGCGCAUCCGCCACGAUAUGAUCUUGUGCGAGCUUGCCCAAACAGAGCGCGCCAUGACCGCGUGCUUAGCAGGGCUUGGCGCUUUGCGUGGGUUGUCGUUGAUGACUCCACGGGAAGAGGUGAUGUACCGCACGCCGCGGUCCAGUGAGGAAGCUUCUUGGUGGUACAGGAGUCCCUCGGGGCAAGUGAUACCUCCUGUUUACCCACACGUUGAACGGUCGCCGUCACCAGUGCCGCAGCGAAGGCCAGUCGAUGAUGCUGAGCAGCAAGAACGCGGCAGCUCAUCUAGGCCAGUUGUAGCAACUCCUUCAGCGUUUCCUGAAGUGGAACUAUUCCGGUCACUGAGCAAGGACCCUGCAGUGGAAGCUUUGGUACCUGCUGUGACCAAUGUCGUUGCCAAACCAGCAGAGCCAGCAUUGCUGCGCAAGGAGGUGGCAAUAGAGAGCCGUGCCGCUGUUGAUCAUGAACACGAAGCAGGAUUGAAGCACAGACAUGCCGUGCAGCUGAUGGAGAAUGGAAUUCAGAUAAGUGAACAGUUAAAGCGUGCAGCCAUUGGUCAGGAAAGCAAAGCAGGAUCGAAGGACAGCCAUGCCGUGCAGCUGAUGGAGAGUGGAAUUCAGAUAAGUCAACAGCUAAAUCAUGUAGCCGUUGGUCAAGGAAGCAAAGCAGAAGCGAAGGACAGCCAUCCUGUGCAGCUGAUGGAGAGCGGAAUUCGGAUAACUGAACAGCUGAAGCGUGCAUCCAUUGGUCAAGGAAGCAAAGCAGAAGCGAAGGACAACCAUGCAAUGCAGCUGAUGGAGAGUGUAACUGAGAGAAGCAAACAGCUAAAGCGUGCAGCCGUUGGCCGAGAAAUCAAAGCAGAAGUGAAGGACAACCAUGCCUUGCAGCUGAUGGAGAGUGAACUUCAGAGAACUGAACAGCCAAAUCUUGCAGCUGUUGGCAAGGAACAGGAAGCAGGAUUGAAGGAUGGCCAUGCCGUCCAGCUGCUGGCUAGUGGAAUUCAGAUAAACGAAGAGCUAAAACGUGCAGCCGUCGGCCAGGAACGCAAAGCAGAAGCGAAGGACAGCCAUGUCGCGCAGCUGAUGGAGAAUAAAAUACAGAGAAGUGAAAAGCCGAAGCGUGAAAAUUUUGGUCAGGAACGUGAAGCAGUAGUGAAGGAUGGCAAUGCCGUGAAGCUGACGGUGAAUAGAAUCCAGAGAAGUGAACAGCCAAAGCGUGAUGUCUCUGGUCAGCAGCACGAAGCAGAAGAAAAGGAUAGACAUGCUGUAAAGUUGAUGGAGGAGAGUGGAAUCCAGGGAAGUGAACAGCCAAAGCCUGCUAAGCCUACCAUGAAAGAUUGCAUCGAUGAGCGGAGGCAAUCGCCUCACCAACAUGCGCUGGCUGGCAAGAAGUCCCCAUUUAAUGAGCAGAAGAGACCAGCGUUCAACGAGCCUAAUACCCAAACCACGCCUAGUGGGGUGAAAAGGAGACCGGUAUCUGGACCGGUUGUGACAACUCCAUCACCAAAGAGGCAGAAGCCACUUGAAGAAUGGAAUUGCACCCUCUGUCAAGUGAAUCUGACCUGUGAAGAAGACUUGAUGCAACACAAAGCAGGCGAUCUACACCGGUUGAACCUUGCGGCGUUGCGGUCCAGGCAGAAAGCCUUUGGAUUUGACUUGCGCAACCAUCUGAAGGGCAGCAGCCAGCAGGAGAGCACGCAGGCCCUGCACACGGAAGCCGGGAGCCACCAUCCCAAAGGGAGGAGUCAUCAGGAGAGCGCACAGACCCGGCAGGCAGGAGGAGGCAACGAGGAGGGCAAGCGUUUCGCUGACCGCAGGGCUACUGAAGGUCCGAGGAAGGAGUUUGUAAGCAAAUUUCCCUUCUGCAAGCUCUGCAAAGUGCAGUACUCCAGCGAGAAGGUGAAGGAGUCGCAUCUCGCCGGGAAGAAACACAGGGAGAACCUUCAGGCACGCCAUUGA